CAGCAGAGGGCACUCUGGACUACUGGCAUGCUCAGUUCCUGUCUGUUACGUAUAUAAAGCACAUGGACUCACACACACCACAAAACCUUGCCGUUUAUUCUCAGUGAGCCAUCGUGUCUUGCUCUGAUCUCUGUGUAUGACCUUGCAUUGUCUUUUUGUUCUUCCUUUUGGAUCUCCCUUUGGAUAUUUCUCUAUGCUCUAUGGUGUUUGACCUCUACCUGGCUUGUGUGAAUACUCUUUGGAUCACCAAAUACAGAUAUCCUACUCCUCUGGUUCUGGCAGCCCUAGUACAGGAAAGGCUGCCCUGGAAACAUAUAAACAUGGAAGGUAACAUGGUCAUAAGGAAGAUUGAAUGACAAAAUAAGGAGGCGUGUCGUUUGGCUAGAUAUUCCUCUAUUUCCUUUCAAACUGGCUGAGGAAAUUCCCCUUUCUUUUACUGUAAUGACAGGCUGAUGAUGAUGUACUGACAUUAAUGAGUUACUUUGUACAGUUUCUCUCCACUGUAGAACAUUUUCAACAUAAUCUCACAUGGUGAACCACUCUAUCUACAUUUUAUUACACCGCUGUUGUUGUGUUUGUCUGCCUACUUUUGCUUUUAGUCAGUAAAAAUGACCUUAUUUCAAAUAAAAAUGUGGCAUUUUAUAGAUUUUUUUCAGCACAGAUAGCUUGAUGAUGUACACAAUCCUGUUGCUGACUGAGCAGUGGCUGUAUGUAUAAAGCCACUCAGAGUAAAAUUUUAGUCUUAUGAGUGUCAAAAUUCUAAGAAUGACAUGAUUAUACCUAAACUUAAGAAUACUUAAGAAUGAUUCAUAAAGCUUCCUAAGUGUUGAGACUAGGUCUCAGCUCCUAAAUUUGGAGAGGUAUCAUAACCUAGUUAAGAGUAACAAGAUGGCAGCAGAGAGGCAGAGACCACACACUUUCGAACAAAGAAAGCAAUACAGGCUUGAUCGUCAAAGUAUUCUUUUUUGUUACUGACCUAGUAAAAAAUUCAAUAACUUCUCCCACUCUAUGAAACAACACUCUAACUGCUGAAAUGAAAGUAAUAAUCACUCUGUGUUUUUUGGUGACUGGAAAAAUGCAGCAGUGCACCAGUGAUGAGUUGGGCCCAUCCCAGUCCACAGUAAGCAAGGUCUUAAAUACCGCUAUUGCGCCACUAACCACACCAAACAUAGUAAAGCAGUUCAUUGACUUCCCAACUGACCUUCAAACCAUACAGCAAAAGCAAGCCACUUUUAUGAGGAUUGUGGGCUUCCCCCGAAUUUGUUGGAGUCAUCGAUGGAACUCAUGUUCGCAUCAUUGCUCCAACUGUAAAUGAGGAGACAUACAUCAAUAGAAAAAAGGAUUCCACAGCAUCAGUGUUCAAGUUGUGUUUGAUGCCAAUUACAAGAUCCUGGAUAUCCUUUAAAACACUGGCUUCUUACCCCUUACAGAAGACCCCAAGGAGAACAGCAGCUCAAUUAUAACAGAGUGCACAAAGUAACAAGAGCUGUGGUGGAGAGAGGAAUUGGACAGCUGAAAAGGAGAUUUCACAUCCUUCAUGGACAGAUUUGACACUCCCCAGAGUGUGCUAGUUGCAUUAUUAUGGCUUGUGGCAUUGAACACAACAUUUGCAAAUCUCAUGACCUUCCACUGCUUGGUGAAGAUAAUGAUGAUGAUGAUCAUGAUCAUGAUGAUGACAGUGAUCAUGAUUAUGACGAGAAUGAUGACAAUACCACCGAGCACACAUUACAGAGUGUUUCAGGGAGAGCAUUGAUACAGGACUGCUUUGCCAACUUACAUUUUGGAGACUUAAUGUCACCCUGAGGGGCUGCACUCUUUACAAACCCUGUGUCUUGUGAGGCAGAAGGCUCAACUGGAGGACAUGGACAUCUCAGAUGUCCUGAGAUGAUCUCGGAGAAGCUGUGUUAGAUGGACCGGCUCCAGCAUCAUCCACACUACAUUCACAUGAAGAAGACAUUAAACAGUGCAAACAUGUUUAUUCAA